CUAAUCUUAGUUUAAUAAGAAUGAGGGUUUUGGGGACCUUUGGUCUCAAUUGAGAGAUUUGG
rnacentral:tRNA from 1 species